GUUGGCCGCUCGUUAUCGCGUACGCAUGGAAAUGACGAAAUUAAACGGAUAAAUAAAUUCUAUUCGCAAAAGAAUUCCGGUUCAAUUAAAAAUUAUUUCAAAAUAUUUUUUUUUAUGAUGGCAAAUCAACUGAGGACAUGGACGGGCCGAAAUAAAGUGCAAAGAAAAUUGAAAGAAACGGAAAUUGAUGGCAAUGCCAUCAAGAAAAUUUGAAUUUUCUAACAGUUUAAAACCUACGUACGAAGUCAACGAAGUCGUGUAACGAAGUUAUCGUGGCUACGCGAAUUGAAAUGGCCUCCAGGCCAAUGUUGGUGUAAAAGAAAUGAAAUAAUCCUCCUAGAUAACAACACCCACAACUCAGAAAAAAAUAUUCCCAGCACGUGCAAAUGUUAACAAGCAUUUUAAUGAAAUUUGAACGAUUUUGAAUAAAAUAAAAAAAAAUUGCAA
rnacentral:sRNA from 1 species